UUGGAAUUGUAACAGCCGUCAGAUUCGGUUGAGAUUUAAUCUCAACCGUUGAAUAUAAAUAAAACCUACUCAGAAGUCUAUGUCUCGACUUUUUAUGUCCACAAUUUUUUUUUUUAUGCGUAUAUAAAUCCACUUAACUCAAUUCAGUAACAAAUCUAAAUGAUAGACUCAUCAUUUAUCAAAACAAAACAUUUCAUCAUAAAGUAUAAAAGCUAGCUUUGUGCCAGGAGAUUAGUCAGUCGGGUCAAUCAGUAGUGGUGGAAUUGUCCACACCCUCACUCUCUCUCACCUCAGACUCAAGCCUCACCUCGGUACCUGAACCUCACCACCCUCCUUGCCGAUUUUUCUCUCCUCCCACAUAAGUGACAUCACCCAAAUUCGUCGCCUGAAUCCCGAAUCUGCCCACACCAGUCCUCAUUCCUCACUCGUGAAUCCAUCACCUGAAUCGAUACUUCACCCACUGCCUAUACCACCUGAAUCUGGCUCCUGAUCGAGCUCUCUGUCUUAGUCCGCACUCCUCCUCACUGCACAAGGUAAGAAAUUCCUGCAAUAAACUCAACCAAAGUUCAUACAUAUUGUUUGAUUCCAAAUUCGAUUAGGGAUUUUGAAUUUGGGUUUCUGAAUUAGGAAUUUCUGAAAUUAGGAUUUCUAAAUUAGGACUUUUUGAAUUAGAGAUUUUGAAUAGGGUCUCUGAAUUAGGGAUUUUGAAUCGACGGGGUGGUGAAAAAUAUUUAUUUUUCUCAUGCUAAAAUGGCAAGCUGCUGUUCUGGACUUCUUGGGCUUCGAAGCGUCUAGAGUUUUGGACCAAUUAUCGGCGGCAAUCAUCGUGAGCCGGUCCCGCUGAAUCUCCGACAGCGUUAUCGAGCUAGGAAGCGCCGAACCGGGCUUGGCCUUGACCGGGUACUCGAGCGGGUACUCGGCGACAUGGUGGCGCUUGAAAUCGUAUGGCCCUGUUCCGUACACCUUCGUCAUUGCCACUCGCCCACUGAUCUGGUUGUAUUGAGGAUUAACGCCAAAGGCAGAGUACCGAAUGAUUGGAGCGGUUGAAGUUCGUUCCAUGGCA